ACAAGAUGGAGGCGGCCAUGCGGACCCUUCAGCCAGAGAAGGAAGGAAGAAGAAGCAAUAGACCAGAGACCCCUCUGCAAGCCGUAGCGAGAGUGCAGGCAGUACCUCUGCAAUCCAUGCAGGGCCAUGGCAGGACUGAGAGUUACCAGCAGCUCCGUGUGAGUGAGCAGAGAGGCAGAGAGGAGCUGCAGCCUUCGGGAUAAAUGCACGUCGGAGCAGCCCGUGCAGGGCUGCCGUGUGUGUGAGUUACCCCACGGACUUGCAGGGAGGACGGGUGUGGAGUUCACCCGUCCUGAGGAGGGACAAACGGCAGAAGCUAUCAGGAAUAGACUGACUGAAACUCCCACUCCCGGCACCGCCCCCCCCCCACCCCACCCCGAGCCGUUCAAGGAGGGAGGAGUGAUACAUGAAGGAGAAGAUGAGAGAAUUAUUUGCAAGAGUGGAGCUGGAAGAAUGAAAAUAUAAAAAAGGAGACAUUGUGAGGACUGAAGAUCAUCUGAGAUGAGCUACAUCCUACGUAGACAGGGACUGCUCACGAUCUCCAUUGACCUGAAUGGAAAAAGAGUCCUGGACUGGGAAAGGAGGAUGUUCAAAAACAAGGUUUGGUUUGCUGUCAAGGACCAGGAGUGGGAGACAAACAUAUUACCACUCCACAUUGUAAUGGUAGUGGAAGAAGCUAUGCUUACUGAGACAGAAGGUGCAGAGGAUGCAGGGGAGACAAGAGCCCUGGGAAGUUUCUCCCUCUGUCCUGCCCAGCCCCAAAGCCUUGGAGAGGAAGGCAGCUGCAGCUGAAGGAAGCAGGCGGAAACCCAGGAUGUGUCCUUGGCUGCCUUAGCUAUAAAGUCUGUUGUCAUCAAUCAAAAACAGGACGUAGCAUUCAAAGAACUCUCCUUUGGGAGUCUUGAAAUAAAUCAAAAUGGCUUUACAUAGCCAAGGUUGCUGCAAGCUUACGUAUGCUUGAAGCAUCUCUUUUUUUAAAUCAAAAGAGCUGUGUCUUCUUUUCUUUUUAUUUCUUUUUCUCCUGACAUGCAGCCCUCAUCUUCUCUGACUUUCCUUUCUUCUUCACAUCCUUCUUUUCUUUUUUCUUUCCCCUGGCUCCCCUCCAAAUGUAAAAAGUCAAGAGGACGGCAACAUCAAGCGCUGGUUUGGCUCUUUGUGAGGAUGCUGCCUUUUGUCACGGCUCACUUGGCUGUUGCUAGCCAGUAGAUGGAGCACAUCCACUGUUUUAAGUACCGGUGGGCUUCAUAAAUUUCUUUCCCCUCUUCUCUUCCUCCUAUAAAACAUCUAUCAUUUCCUCUGCAGUGACUCAGUAUCUGCAAGGUAGUACAACACUAUACAAAAAAGCCAGUCUUGGCUGGACCUCAGCAUAGGCCAUCGAGACCACGCCAAAUCAUGUGGGGCCAAACAUCCACUCGUCUAGAUGGGAAAUAAAAAUCUUUUAACAGUUUCCAGCUCUGGAUGCUGCUUUUUUUCUAUUUUUCUCAACUAAGAAAACAUCCACUUCACAAGUGAGUGCCAGCCUGGGGUCCUCCCCCCCAUCUUUCCCAUGUUCCAGUGCCAGAGCUGCAGCUUUGUCAUGGUUUUGCACCGCAACACCAUGCAGCAGCUAUCAAAGGGCCCCGGCACUACUGAAAUAGCAUCAGAAGACUUGGGUUCCCCCAUAAGAACAGAGGACCUCCU